rnacentral:snRNA from 1 species
GUGCUUGCUUUGGCAGCACAUAUACUAAAAUUAGUACAGAGAAGAUUAGCAUGGCCCCUGAAUAAGUAUGACAUGCAAAUUUGUGAAGGGAUCCAUAUUUUA